rnacentral:hammerhead_ribozyme from 1 species
GUACUGUUGAAGAGUCCCAGACUAGGACGAAACAGCUGUCCCGAAC